rnacentral:rRNA from 1 species
UACAGAGGGGGCAAGCGUUGUUCGGAAUUACUGGGCGUAAAGGGCGCGUAGGCGGCCGCCUAAGUCAGACGUGAAAUCCCUCGGCUCAACCGGGGAACUGCGUCUGAUACUGGGUGGCUUGAGUUCGGGAGAGGGAUGUGGAAUUCCCGGUGUAGCGGUGGAAUGCGUAGAGAUCGGGAAGAACAUCGGUGGCGAAGGCGGCCUGCUGGGCUCUUGCUGACACUGAGGCGCGACAGCGUGGGGAGCAAACAGG